rnacentral:lncRNA from 1 species
GAGGGUGGAGGAGGUGACUCAUAAACAUAAGGUGGUGGUGGAGGGGAUUUGUAGACAUAUUGUGGAGGAGGAGGUGAUUCGUAAACAUAUGGAGGAGGUGGCGGUGACUUGUAGACAUAUGGUGGUGGAGGUGGCGACUUGUAUACAUAUGGUGGGGUGGUGAUGGAGAUGGUGGAGGAGGAGACUUGUAGACAUAUGGAGGUGGGGUGUACACAUAUGGUGGGGGAGGUGGCGACUUGUAGAUAUAUGGAGGAGGUGGUGAUGGUGGAGGAGGAGAUGGGUAAACAUAAGGUGGAGGAGGUGGUGACUUAUACACAUAUGGAGGAGGUGGGGGUGAUUUGUAGAUAUAUGGAGGAGGAGGCGAUGGUGGAGGAGGAGAUGGGUAAACAUAAGGUGGAGGAGGUGGUGAUUUGUAUACGUAUGGAGGAGGUGGUGAUGGUGGAGGAGGAGACGGGUAAACGUAAGGUGGAGGAGGUGGUGACUUGUACACAUAUGGAGGAGGUGGGGGUGACUUGUACACAUAUGGAGGAGGUGGUGAUGGUGGAGGAGGAGACGGGUAAACAUAAGGUGGAGGAGGUGGUGACUUGUACACGUAUGGAGGAGGUGGGGGUGACUUGUACACAUAUGGAGGAGGUGGCGGUGACUUGUAUACAUACGGAGGAGGUGGUGAUGGUGGAGGAGGAGACGGGUAAACGUAAGGUGGAGGAGGUGGUGACUUGUACACGUAUGGAGGAGGUGGGGGUGACUUGUAUACAUAUGGAGGUGGCGGUGAUGGUGGAGGAGGAGACGGGUAAACAUAAGGUGGAGGAGGUGGUGACUUGUACACAUAUGGAGGAGGUGGUGGUGAUUUAUAGACAUAAGGAGGUGGUGGUGAUGGAGAUGGUGGUGGUGGAGAUUUGUAGUAAUAUGGUGGUAAUUUGUAAUCAUAAGGAGGUGGCGGUGACGGGGGUGGAG